GAUGAACGCUGGCGGCGCGCCUAACACAUGCAAGUCGAACGAUUAAAGCACCUUCGGGUGUGUAUAAAGUGGCGAACGGCUGAGUAACACGUGGGCAACCUGCCCCUUUCAUUGGGAUAGCCACAGGAAACCGUGGAUAAUACCGAAUACUUCGAGACUUCCGCAUGGAAGACUCGAGAAAGCUCCGGCGGAGAGGGAUGGGCCCGCGGCCUGUUAGCUUGUUGGUGGGGUAACGGCCUACCAAGGCAAUGAUGGGUAGCUGGGUUGAGAGACCGACCAGCCAGAUUGGGACUGAGACACGGCCCAGACUCCUACGGGAGGCAGCAGUGGGGAAUCUUGCACAAUGGGCGAAAGCCUGAUGCAGCGACGCCGCGUGCGGGAUGAAGGCCUUCGGGUUGUAAACCGCUUUCAGCAGGGACGAGGCGAAAGUGACGGUACCUGCAGAAGAAGCCCCGGCUAACUACGUG
rnacentral:rRNA from 1 species